rnacentral:rRNA from 1 species
GACGAACGCUGGCGGCGUGCUUAACACAUGCAAGUCGAACGGAAAGGCCCUGCUUUUGUGGGGUGCUCGCGUGGCGAACGGGUGAGUAACACGUGAGUAACCUGCCCUUGACUUUGGGAUAACUUCAGGAAACUGGGGCUAAUACCGGAUAGGAGCUCCUGCUGCAUGGUGGGGGUUGGAAAGUUUCGGCGGAUGGGGAUGGACUCGCGGCUUAUCAGCUUGUUGGUGGGGUAGUGGCUUACCAAGGCAUUGACGGGUAGCCGGCCUGAGAGGGUGACCGGCGACAUUGGGACUGAGAUACGGCCCAGACUCCUACGGGAGGCAGCAGUGGGGAAUAUUGCACAAUGGGCGGAAGCCUGAUGCAGCAACGCUGCGUGUGGGAUGACGGCCUUCGGGUUGUAAACCGCUUUCGCCUGUGACGAAGCGUGAGUGACGGUAAUGGGUAAAGAAGCACCGGCUAACUACGUG